CGCUGUACGAGCGCGUCCAACUCGGCCAGCAGCGGCGGGUACGGGCUCGACAGGGUCUCGUAGGACUUGGUCGGGCGUCGGCGCCGUCGCGCGCCUAAAAAGCGCUUGAGCCACCGGCGCAUGUUCGCCCUUUUUCUUUUUCACCUCCUUUUUCCUUUUUCUUUUUUUUCUCUACCUAUUUCUCUUUUUCUUCCCGUCGGCGAGCGCGGCAGUCCGGCCGCGCGCUGGCGCAAAAAAAUGGUGCGUGAGAGAGAGAGAGAGAGAGAGAUGUUUGCCCUCGAGUCGUCUCGCGAGAGCGGCGUACGCACGGCCACACGGAGGAAACCGCGCGACAAAAAAACAGACCCGACGAGCGCUCGCCGCCUUCCCUUUACUUCUUGGGGGGAGGCCGACGCCAGACACGAGAGGCCACCGCAACAGACGCGCCGGCGACGAGCCGCGCUCGCCGCCGCGCCGCCAAAAAAAAAGAGGAAGGAGAAGGGGAAAAAACAAAGAGAAAAACAUGCCAAAUGAAAAAAAAGUCGAUCCGUUGUCUGCGGGUCCGACGCGAGCGCGCUGCGCCGCCGCCCAGACAGAAAAAAACCCGACAAGAAACACUUUGUCUUUUCUCCUUUUUUUGAGCACUUUUUUUCUUUUCUUCUCUUCGUGUGCUCUUUCUGGUGGCCUCGAAAGGUCGCC
rnacentral:lncRNA from 1 species